CACGUAGGCACCAAGCGUUGUCCGGAUUUAUUGGGCGUAAAGAGCUCGUAGGCGGUUCAGUAAGUCGGGUGUGAAAACUUCGGGCUCAACUCGAAGCUUGCACUCGAUACUGCUGUGACUUGAGUCCGGUAGGGGAGUGGGGAAUUCCUGGUGUAGCGGUGAAAUGCGCAGAUAUCAGGAGGAACACCGGUGGCGAAGGCGCCACUCUGGGCCGGAACUGACGCUGAGGAGCGAAAGCGUGGGUAGCAAA
rnacentral:rRNA from 1 species